GCCCGAGUGGCGGAAUUGGCAGACGCGGCAGACUCAAAAUCUGCUACUGGCAACAGCGUGUGGGUUCGAGUCCCACCUCGGGCA
rnacentral:tRNA from 1 species